UACCAGCACCCCGAGUAGUCGGGACGAUUAUUGGGCCUAAAGCAUCCGUAGCUUGUCCUGCAAGUCCUCCGUUAAAUCCACCUGCUCAACAGAUGGGCUGCGGAGGAUACUACAGGGCUAGGAGGCGGGAGAGGCAAGCGGUACUCAGUGGGUAGGGGUAAAAUCCUCUGAUCCACUGAAGACCACCAGUGGCGAAGGCGGCUUGCCAGAACGCGCUCGACGGUGAGGGAUGAAAGCUGGGGGAGCAAACCGGAUUAGAUACCCGGGUAGUCCCAGCUGUAAACGAUGCAGACUCGGUGAUGGGUUGGCUUCGCGCCAACCCAGUGCCGCAGGGAAGCCGUUAAGUCUGCCGCCUGGGGAGUACGGUCGCAAGACUGAAACUUAA
rnacentral:rRNA from 1 species